rnacentral:rRNA from 1 species
AUUGAACGCUGGCGGCAUGCUUUACACAUGCAAGUCGAACGGUAACAGGCCUUCGGGUGCUGACGAGUGGCGAACGGGUGCGUAAUGCAUCGGAACGUACCCAGAGGUGGGGGAUAACGCAGCGAAAGCUGUGCUAAUACCGCAUGUGAUCUGAGGAUGAAAGCGGGGGACCGAGCAGCAAUGUUUGGCCUCGCGCCUUUGGAGCGGCCGAUGUCGGAUUAGCUAGUUGGUGGGGUAAAGGCCUACCAAGGCGACGAUCCGUAGCUGGUCUGAGAGGACGACCAGCCACACUGGGACUGAGACACGGCCCAGACUCCUACGGGAGGCAGCAGUGGGGAAUUUUGGACAAGGGGCGCAAGCCUGAUCCAGCAAUGCCGCGUGCGGGAAGAAGGCCUUCGGGUUGUAAACCGCUUUUGGCAGGAACGAAACGGUGUCCGCUAAUACCGGGCGCUAAUGACGGUACCUGCAGAAUAAGCACCGGCUAACUACGUG